UACGGAGGGUGCAAACGUUGCUCGGAAUCAUUGGGCGUAGAGCGCACGUAGGCGGCUCCUCAAGUCGGAUGUGAAAGCCCUGGGCUCAACUCAGGAAGUGCAUCCGAAACUGUGGAGCUUGAAUGCCGGAGGGGCCCAGAGAAUUCCCGGUGUAGAGGUGAAAUUCGUAGAUAUCGGGAGGAAUACCAGUGGCGAAGGCGCUGGGCUGGACGGUCAUUGACGCUGAGGUGCGAAAGCGUGGGGAGCAAACAGG
rnacentral:rRNA from 1 species